UUAUACCACAUUAGUGGUGCGUUUAUUUGAUUAAACCAUUUAUACUGGUUGACUCAAAAUAUCCUCGCUGAUUUUGUUACUAAAACAUACCGUAUGUGUAUCUGGUUUAUCAACUUUCGAUGGUAGGGUAUUGGCCUACCAUGGUUGUGACGGAUAACGGAGAAUUAGGGUUCGACUCCGGAGAGGGAGCCUGAGAAACGGCUACCACAUCCAAGGAAGGCAGCAGGCGCGAAAAUUACCCAAUUUUAGUUAAAAGAGGUAGUGACGAAAAAUGACAACCAAAUAUUAUUAUUAAUAUUUGGAUUGAAAAUCUUCAAGUUUAAAUAACUUGUUGGUAAAGGAAAGGGCAAGUCUGGUGCCAGCAGCCGCGGUAAUACCAGCUUUCCAAGUGCAUAAAAUGAUUGUUGUGGUUAAAAAGCUCGUAGUUGGAUUAUAAAGAUUGUAUAAUGAGCAUCUUGGAUGUUAUUAAUCAUUAUCAUCUUAUAUUUUUAUUAUAUUAGAAAUAAUAUA
rnacentral:rRNA from 1 species